rnacentral:rRNA from 1 species
CCUACGGGAGGGCAGCAGUGGGGGAUAUUGCACAAUGGGGGAAACCCUGAUGCAGCGACGCCGCGUGUGGGAAGACGGUCCUCUGGAUUGUAAACCACUGUCCCCAGGGACGAAGCUGACGGUACCUGGGGCGGAAGCUCCGGCUCACUACGUGCCAGCAGCCGCGGUAAUACGUAGGGAGCAAGCGUUGUCCGGAAUUACUGGGUGUAAAGGGAGCGUAGGCGGGAUGGCACGUUGGGUGUUAAAUCUACCGGCUCAACUGGUAGUCGCACUCAAAACUGCUAUUCUUGAGUGAAGUAGAGGCAGGCGGAAUUCCUAGUGUAGCGGUGAAAUGCGUAGAUAUUAGGAGGAACACCAGUGGCGAAGGCGGCCUGCUGGGCUUUUACUGACGCUGAGGCUCGAAAGUGUGGGGAGCAAACAGGAUUAGAUACCCGUGUAGUC